rnacentral:lncRNA from 1 species
GUUAAUUACAUUCCCUUGCCAUUUACACAGCAAAAGUGCAGUUUCUAAUUGAGGGUCUGUUCUGUACAAUGACAAGCAACUUCUUCCGUCUCAAUAUUUACCUUUCUGUGGGGUCCGAUUUUUAUUUCUCUAAUCUUAUCUUUUAUUAAACAUAAAAGUAGACAUUCCAGUGAUAUAUUGGCCAUUCCUGUGAUCCACUGUCGUUAUACAUCUCAGAGAGAUACGUGGGAAUCAUAUUUGGCUCUGUGUUGCCAUCUGGUGGUGUCUUGAUCUUUCAUAGCCUCCUUAGAGCAGUGUCUGGUGAGAAGAUGGUACCCAGGGUCUGUUCCCUUCUUAGUUUUACUGCACAGCCUCUCUGGGGAUUUGACAUUAGCCUUCCUCCCCACUGGUGGCUGAGGGAAGCAUCACUGUGGCUCUGAGUUUUUUGUGUCAUUAAGUAUGCAUUGCGUGUCUUCUAGAUAUUUGGCAUCUUGCAUUAUUCAGUCUUUGAUUCUCAGUUUGUCGUUGUCAGACUUCCUUUUCUAGAAAGCUUAUAUCCUCAGCUAA